AGUGGAUGGGGAGCAACCUAGUUGUGCGUGUGUAAAGGUAGUGCCAAGAAAAGCGAUGAUCAUGUUGAAAAUCAAUUCCCGGUACCCGAAACCGACACAGGUGGGCAAGUAGAGAAUACUAAGGGGCGCGAGGUAACUCUCUCCAAGGAACUCGGCAAAAUGACCCCGUAACUUAGGGAGAAGGGGUGCCACCGAGAGGUGGUCGCAGUGAAGAGGCCCAGGCGACCGUUUAGCAAAAACAUAGGUCUCUGCAAACUCGAAAGAGGAGGUAUAGGGGCUGACGCCUGCCCAGUGCCGGAAGGUUAAAGAAGUUGGUCAGUUUUAGGAUGAAGCUAGCGACUGAAGCCCCGGUGAACGGCGGCCGUAACUAUAACGGUCCUAAGGUAGCGAAAUUCCUUGUCGGGUAAGUUCCGACCCGCACGAAAGGCGUAACGAUCUGGGCGCUGUCUCGGAGAGAGGCUCGGCGAAAUAGGAUUGUCUGUGAAGAUACGGACUACCUGCAUUUGGACAGAAAGACCCUAUGAAGCUUUACUAUAGCUUGGAAUUGUGUUCGGGCUUCCUGUGCGCAGGAUAGGUGGGAGGCGUAGAAGGUAUUCUUGUGGGGAUACUGGAGCCAACGGUGAGAUACCACUCUCAGGAGGCUAGAAUUCUAACUUAAUUAAGGACAGUUUCAGGUGGGUAGUUUGACUGGGGCGGUCGCCUCCAAAAAGGUAACGGAGGCGUACAAAGGUUCCCUCAGACUGGUUGGAAAUCAGUCGAAGAGUGCAAAGGCAGAAGGGAGCUUGACUGCGAGAAGUACAGUUCGAGCAGGGUGGAAACACGGUCUUAGUGAUCCGACGGUGCUGUGUGGAAGGGCCGUCGCUCAACGGAUAAAAGUUACUCUAGGAUAACAGGCUGAUCUCCCCCAAGAGUUCACAUCGACGGGGAGGUUUGGCACCUCGAUGUCGGCUCAUCGCAACCUGGGGCGGAAGUACGUCCCAAGGGUUGGGCUGUUCGCCCAUUAAAGCGGUACGUGAGCUGGGUUCAGAACGUCGUGAGACAGUUCGGUCCAUAUCCGAUGUAGGCGUGAGAAUAUUGAGAGGAGCCUUCCUUAGUACGAGAGGACCGGGAAGGACGCACCGCUGGUGUACCUGUUAUGAUGCCAAUUGUAAACGCAGGGUAGCCAAGUGCGGAGAGGAUAACCGCUGAAAGCAUCUAAGUGGGAAGCCCACCUCAAGAUGAGUAUUCUGGUGUAAGGUCACGGGAAGACGACCCGUAAAUAGGCACGAGGUGGAAGUGCAGAGAUGUAUGAAGCCGAAGUGUACUAAUAGACCGUCGGCUUGACCAA
rnacentral:rRNA from 1 species